rnacentral:lncRNA from 1 species
UGUUGAAUGGAUGGAGGUGUUGAGAUACGGUAAUGAACGGAGAGUGGAGAUUUGGGGGUCGUGAGGUUGGGGAUGAUAGAAACGAUGAAGGUGUGCGUCGGAAUCGUGAGCGGUGGAGGGGGUUUUUGUGGUGGUGAGGAAAGUGACUCCGUGACGGCGGCUGAAGGUAGCGAUUUGAAGGUGAAGCGAUGGAGUUGUUGGUGAAGGGGUUUUGUUGGGUGGAGGUUAAUCGGUAGAUUUCGGCGGUGAAUGGUGGCUGUUAGGGUGGUUUUGGGUGGUGGAGGCGAUGAAGAGAUGAAGAGGAAAAUCCUCUUCUUAUUUUUCUUUUUUUCUUCGUAGAGUAGAGAGAGAAGAGAGGUUCAGAGAAAUGUGUGUGUGAAUGAAUUUUGUGAGUGGUGAGUGAAUUGGUGGAGUGAGAAAGAGAGGAUAAGGGUGAGUGAAAUAGUGGGCAGGUGUGUAGCUGAUGGCCGUUGGGAGUGGAGAGACACG